rnacentral:rRNA from 1 species
AGAGUUUGAUCAUGGCUCAGGACGAACGCUGGCGGCGCGCUUAACACAUGCAAGUCGAGGGAGAUCCGCCUUUUGGGGUGGGGAGACCGGCGAACGGGUGAGUAACACGUGAGGAACCUGCCCUGUAGACCGGAAUAACCAUGGGAAACUGUGGCUAAUGCCGGAUAGGACUGGCUGCUGCAUGGUGGUCGGUGGAAAUGGUUUUCCGCUACGGGAUGGCCUCGCGGCCUAUCAGCUUGUUGGUGGGGUGAUGGCCUACCAAGGCGACGACGGGUAGCUGGCGUGAGAGCGCGACCAGCCACACUGGGACUGAGACACGGCCCAGACUCCUACGGGAGGCAGCAGUGGGGAAUCUUGCGCAAUGGGCGAAAGCCUGACGCAGCGACGCCGCGUGCGGGAAGAAGGCCUUCGGGUUGUAAACCGCUUUCAGCAGGGAAGAAGCGUGAGUGACGGUACCUGCAGAAGAAGCCCCGGCCAACUACGUGCCAGCAGCCGCGGUAAUUC